UACGUAGGGGGCGAGCGUUGUCCGGAUUUACUGGGCGUAAAGGGCGCGUAGGCGGCCACUGCAAGUCGGUUGUGAAAUCUCCGGGCUUAACCCGGAAAGGUCAAUCGAUACUGCAGGGCUAGAGUGCGGAAGGGGCAACUGGAAUUCUCGGUGUAGCGGUGAAAUGCGUAGAUAUCGAGAGGAACACCUGCGGCGAAGGCGGGUUGCUGGGCCGACACUGACGCUGAGGCGCGAAAGCCAGGGGAGCGAACGGG
rnacentral:rRNA from 1 species